rfam:Oryza glumipatula chromosome 6, whole genome shotgun sequence.
UUUAAACGCAAAAAUAAAUUUUUCAUGUCUAUCUUGAUCAUCCGUCUUAUAUAAAUUUUUUUAUUAGUAGUUUCAUUGUUAUUAGAUGAUAAAAUAUGAAUAGUAUUUUAUAGUGACUUAUAUUUUUUUAAAAAAAAUUAAAUAAGAAGGACGAUUAAAGUUGAACAUUGAAACUCAUGGCUACGGUUAAA